AUAUUUUCAUAACAAAAAGCUUCCAUAAACACCAAUCUUUCCAUCCUCCCCUCUCAUGAUUCUUUCCAUACAGAUGCUCCCUCCCGCAUUCGUUUAUUUCCUUCCAAUUAUACCGGGAUUUUUUUCCAGCUUCUGUUCCUCAAAAAAUUUCUCACGAUCAAGGCCCCUGCCCUUCCUUAUCUACCCACAAAUCUCGUGCCCCUCUCCCAGGUCAGGUUCCGGAGCCGGGUCGUCGCCGCGGAGUACGUCGAUGCGGAGCCGGAGGGCGCGGCGGACCGGUGGGAGAGGUGGAACGGCAACGGCGAGGCCUUCGGCGACGGCUCGGGUGUGUGGUGCCUCACUGUGGGCCACUGGGGCGCCGGCGAGCAGGAGCCGGAGACGGAGGAGGUGCAUGAGUCCGACUUCCUGAUCCUCUGCAUCGGCAGUUUCAGCGGCAUGCCCAACAUCCCAGCGGUGUCCCCAGGCCCGGAGGCGUUCCGCGGGCGGGUGCUCCUGCAUGGAGCUCUCCCACAUGGCCGACGAGGACGCCACCGCGCUGGUUAAGGGGAAGCGCAUCACCGUCAUGGGGUCCGGCAAGUUGGCCUUCGAGAUCGCCGCCGAGUGCGCCGACGCCAAUGGCGCGGGGACGCCGUGCACGAUGUUGUGCCAGAACCCUCAUUGGCUGCUACCAUCGGGUACCUCUACAUGAACCAAAGAACGCAUUUUAUUCUAACUGUUAGUCUGCUAUAUCCACGAGCUCACUGACGCCAGACCAGCAAGCAGCCCAGAUUGAAUGGCACUGAGCUCCAAGUUCAACUGAUUAUAUAAUGCUGCACGUGAUCUGCGCCACCCCCACACGAUCCGCUACCAUAUCAAUGAUUGUGUAUCUGUAUUUAUUUAUCUACAAAUCAUUGUACUGUUGUGAUUUUGUUAAGCAGAUACAUGCAUGGCAGGGGGAAGUUGAGCGAGCAUGGCAAAGCCAAAGAUAUCUUCCUUGGAGCUACCAUUUAAUUCAUAAGAUGUCAAGUAAUAGCUUGAAGUUUAGGUGAUAAAAAUGCUAAUAUGAUGAUCAGGUCAGGUAUAAUAUCAUAGAAAAUGUAAAAAAAAUAUCAUUGGAGUUGUUUUCAUUAUAGUAAUCAGAAUGCUUUGUCUUGCACCAUUAUUUGUUGAACAUCUUUAUUUGUAGGAUGUAGGCUGAGUUUCAGAAGAUGAGAGUUGAAAUGGCUGGAAUGAGAACAAAAAAAUGGCAGCUUGGUCUUUACAAUUGCAGUUUCAAUUCCUUAUUUGAGUCUAACUCAGGUGUUUCAUAGACUUUCCAAAAUAUCUAUUUUUGAACCUUACUGAAGUUGGCCUCUUACCGAGGAAAAAAGUCUAUGAAUGGAUCAUCUGAAAAACAAGACGUUACAGUUCCUUAAAAUUAAAAGUGAAAUUGCUUGCCAAAUACAGUAACAGGUAACUCCAAUAUUUGUUGGAAUGAGAUAACGUAUGCCAGGUGAAUAUUUGUAGAGUUACCUGUUAGGGUUCUGUUUAGUCUGUUAUGUUUCCCUCUAAUUUUUUUAUUGCUUAGCUAGGGUAGAUAUUUUUAGUCUGUUAUGUUUCCUUGAUUUUUAAUUUUUUUGCUUAGCUAGGUUAGAUAUUUGUUUCCAGGUGUUACAACAUGGCUUAGCACCUACUACAUCAACGUUUCUCUGCUCCAAUUCUUACCGUCCCACAUCUCAAAGAAUUUGUGUGGUAGUCCCUAUCAUGAAAAAAAGUAGAACAAUUUCUAGCUUUCAUAUGCAUUUGUUUAUGCUGUAAUGUUUAAGAAUGAAGCAUUGAUCAAGGCCCCACAAAGGUGAUGUAGUGAUAUCGUGAUGUUCUAUACGCUAAUUGGAUGCAGGUGACAUGUCUCUCCUUUUCAAUUUCUCUUAUCGCAGGUUUGAUCGGAUGGAAUUCACACACUUGGAUCGAAGGAUUUGUGAUGCAAGGAAGAAGGUGGAUGGAGCGCCGAGGAACAUGAUAAGGAAGGGGUCGGAUGAGAGAGGAGAGAAGAGUAGGGUGAAGGACGAGAUGGAGGGAAAGAGGGACAAGGACAUGGUGAACGGAGUUUCUUGAGGCGGAGGGUGGGGGCUUCUCGGAGGAGGAGAUGUUGGACUUCUCCUUGUCCUAGCUUGUUGCUGCCUUGCUGGGUAGGGGCCAGUCUGUCCUCAUGAGGUUGUUGUCAAAUUCCUCACCGAGACUUCAGUGAUGCUGGGACAACUCAAGCAUGAAAUGUUAUGGUAGUUUGUUUGGGAAAUUGUAAAUUCUUGUGCAUGUGUGGUAGAGUACAUUGGAAAAUAAGGUCGGGCAGUGGGAGGAUUUGUCAACCAGUUUCAUACUCUUAUUAUAAUUGGGGGUUAGGUUAGCAUUUUGUACAGCAGCUCACGUCUAAAAGAAAAUUUUAAGGUGCUGGCUUGUUA